rnacentral:tRNA from 1 species
GGAGAUAUAGCUCAAUGCUUCAGCAUUUGUCUGGCAUGCAAGAAGCCCUGGGUUCAACUCCAGCACCGCCU